rnacentral:misc_RNA from 1 species
UGGGCUUGACAUGUGGAUCAUACCCGUGGAAACACGGGGUCAGUUCGGCUGGAUCUUCACAGGUGGUGCAUGGCUGUCGUCAGCUCGUGUCGUGAGAUGUUGGGUUAAGUCCCGCAACGAGCGCAACCCCCGUCGCAUGUUGCCAGCAUUUAGUUGGGGACUCAUGCGAGACUGCCGGUGACAAACCGGAGGAAGGUGGGGAUGACGUUUCGCAACUAACCA